rnacentral:sRNA from 2 species
GCAUCCGGGGUUUCUGGUUGUUUGACUCCACGGGGUCAACACUUUGUCACUUCGCGGGGUGGCCCUCUCUUAGGUAUCGAGGCGUUGGCUCUGCAGGGGAUUCCUAUCGAUAGGUUACUGUUAGGCAAUGACAGUCAACGAGAUCUCAACGAUCUUGCAGGCAACGCGAUGAGCUCAACUGUUGUAGGGGUGGCGAUUAUGAGUGCUUUGAUUGUAGGAUACCAGGCUCUUGCGCCUGGCAAAACUGGCGGAAGUAACUCCAAAAACGAAGAACACUUUAUAACUCAGAUGCAAGUUGCUGACAAUGACACUGUGGAGCUGGUCCCCGCUCAUUCGGGGGACGAAAUUGUGCUAUCUACACACGAGGUUUUCGAAAUCGGAAAGCGAAGUUCGAGAAUGUGUAUUUGUGAAGGCCAAGCAUUGACGAAAAGAACCGACAUGUUGAUAUGCUUGAAAUGCGGUUUUACUGCAUGCAAAUCAUGUGGACGCAAUCCUCCACAUGUAUAUUGUCCAAUUCCCAAGGAUGAAUUGAAUGCGCGGGUGUCCCCAAUAAAUUUCGAGACCC